rnacentral:rRNA from 1 species
UACGUAGGCAGCAAGCGUUGUUCGGAAUUACUGGGCGUAAAGAGUGUGUAGGCGGUUCUCUAAGUUCGGUGUGAAAUCUCCCGGCUUAACUGGGAGGGUGCGCCGGAAACUGGAGGGCUUGAGUAUGGGAGAGGAAGGCGGAAUUCCUGGUGUAGCGGUGAAAUGCGUAGAUAUCAGGAGGAACACCUGCGGUGUAGACAGCUUUCUGGACCAUCACUGACGCUGAGACACGAAAGCGUGGGUAGCAAACAGG